CCUACGUGGAGCUGCAGUGAGGAAUAUUGGUCAAUGGACGGGAGUCUGAACCAGCAAAGUAGCGUGAAGGCUGAAUGCCCUAUGGGUUGUACACUUCUUUUAUCUGGGAAUAAACUGUUCCACGUGUGGGCUUUUGUAUGUACCAUAUGAAUAAGGAUCGGCUAACUCCGUGCCCGCAGCCGCGGUAAUACGGAGGAUCCGAGCGUUAUCCGGAUUUAUUUGGUUUAAAGGGAGCGUAGUGGGAUUGUUAAGUCCGUUGUGAAAGUGUGGGGCUCAACCGUAAAAUUGCAGUUGAAACUGGCAGUCUUGAGUACGGGAGAGGUGUGCGGAAUGCGGGGUGUAGCGGUGAAAUGCUUAGAUAUCACGAAGAACUCCGAGUGCGAAGGCAGCUCACUGGACGGCAACUGACACUGAGGCUCGAAAGUGUGGGUAUCAAACAGGAUUAGAUACCCGAGUAGUC
rnacentral:rRNA from 1 species